GCUGGUAGAGCAGAGGACU
rnacentral:tRNA from 1 species